CGGAUCGAUAGUGAUUACUGGUAGCAUAUGAGUCAUAGACAAUGAAUACGUGUCUGGAAUGUGUCCAA
rnacentral:snoRNA from 1 species